rnacentral:misc_RNA from 1 species
GGGGUAUUCUUGAAGGAAAAGCAAACACGAGCAAGAGAAGUCGCCACUCUUGCGGCACCGAAGAGUCACAUCAACGUCACGUGCCAGAGGGAGGGAGCGGUUACCAUCGCUCACUCGCUCGCACACGUGCCUUCCUUCAUUUCACAGAGCACAUUCCGCCCACAAGAAGAAGCUCCACCCAAAGGCACCAGACACCUCCGGCAAGCACAACUAGCAUUCGCGAGGAGGAGCAGCUCGGAGAAGGGGCAAGAGUCGUGUUUUAUCCCCCACCCGCCAACCACCUCUUUUCUGCGGCACCACACGACUCAUAAAAACUUUUGAAGGACGACUUGUUGGUUUGACCGCUUUCCGUUUUCACCUCUCCUUUUUGAUUCACUGUGCCGUUUGUCCCCCCCCCCCACACACACACACUUAAAGGCCUCGGCCUCGAAGCGGAGCGUUGUUAGUUGGCGCCGCUCGGUCCGCCCAUGCAGCAAUCAUCCUUUGAAGUCGCCGUGGACAGGAGCAGCCAGCACUCCUUCGUGACGGUCUCGCAGCACUACCUCGACACUGUGCUGCGGCCGCUUUACACCGGCCGCCUGCCGCUAGCGGUGCCGUUGCGCAUUACAGGGCGGAGCGGCCACGACAUCUACGUCGGGUGCCUCACCAACCGGCCGCACACGCGCUCCAAGUUUGCGCUUGUUUUCCCCCUUGCGCUCUGCUAUGACCAUGGGCUGAAGGAGGGCGAGCUGGUGGAGUGCGUGCCGCUGCCCAACACGCCGCGUGCGACCAAGGUUCUGGUGGCGCCGCUGACGGUGGAUGACAGCGAGGUAGUGGAGCAGAACGCGCUUCGUGUCGAGAACCUGCUGCUUCGCCAGGUGCAGGUGGUGUUCCCCUCCAUGAUCAUCUCCGUCUCCAUCUUCCCCGGAGUGCCGGCCAAGGUGAUGGUGACCGCCAUCGAGUGCGGCGACGCGGAGAAGCUGCGUAGCGGGUGCGCGACGAUGCACGAGGGCACACAUUUUGUAAUUGCCACCCGUGUCCGUCAGGAGCAGACGGACCGCGGGGCUGAUGGUGCUGCCGCACCGCCGCUCUGGGCCUUUGUCCGCGGGCGGCCCGCUCGUGCCGCCGCUGACAGCGGGGCCGAGCGCAACGACACGGCUGCGGUGCGGGUGCGCCGCGUCACGGCUGACAAGUACCACUGGAAAAACGGUAUGGUGCUCGGCGUCCUCGACUGCGCGACGCUGGCGACACUGAACAGGGAGGAGGUGACUCCGGGGUUUCUGCGGGCACACUUGAAGCAGAUGACCGUCGUUGUCGUGGACAACGCCGACGGCGAGGCAGCGGGAGCUGCGGACGAGGAGGGCGUGUGCGUGGUGGACUCCCUGGCACAGGCGACAAACCUUCUCCUUACUCCUCACGGUCUCGACCUGUCGGCCCCUACGGCUGGGAAGGCUGGCGACGCAACCAGGAACGAUUCUGCCGGAGUGGUCCGUCCGGUGCUCUCGAGUCCCGCGCUACUCCCACUCUCUGCGGUGGCGCUGGACGCCGUCACGCAGGUGCACGGGAGGGUAGCGGAGGAGCUGCAGCAGCACCUUGUGGCCGCCCUCCACCAGUCGAGCGUGCCGCGGUUUGCCAAUCUGCACCAGAACAACGUGCUGCUGUGCGGCGGGAAAGGCUUUGGCAAGUCGACGGUGGUGCGCGCGGUGCUCGACACGCUAUCCGACGUGCACACCGUAACGCUCGAGUGUGGCAAGGUCAAGUCCUUCUCUGCAGACAUCGCCAGGGCCUUGAUGGAGUGCGUUCUGUGCAAGCCAGCGGUGCUGGUGCUGGAGAACUUCGACAGCAUCGCGCCGGCGCAGCAGGAGGGCCACGCGGAGGCGAUGACGGCUAUGACGCGGGCAACACUGGAGGCAACGCUGACACGCUUCUGCUAUCAGUUCUCCGUUCGUCCACAAGGAGCGGUGGUGGUGCUGGCGACAUGCUCGAGCCGCGACGCAGUGCACGAGACGCUGCGGUCGGCUUACUGCUUCCGGCGGGUGCUAACGCUGGAGGCGCUGAAUCGCGCGUCGCGGACGGUGCUGACUGAACAGCUGUUCCCAUACGCGCCGCGCGAAGACGUGGCGGCGGCGGCGGCGCUGAUGGACAACUACACCCCGUUUGACGUGAAGCAGCUGGCGGCGCGGAUGCGGGCGAAGCUGGCGGCGGAGCCGGCCCUGUCGCUGCGCGAGUGCGCCGCGGCCUGCGUGACCUUCUUUACCCCGCUGGCGCACACCGGCAUCAACUUUCUCAAAGGGGACAAGGUGUCGUGGGAGUCGAUUGGCGGGCUGGAGGAGGCGAAGAAGACGCUGUACAAUACGCUGGUGCUGCCGAUCAAGCACCCGCAGCUCUUCGCGCGGCUGCCGCUCAAGACGCGCAGCGGCAUCCUGCUCUACGGCCCAUCGGGGUGCGGCAAGACCUUCAUCGUCGAAUCCCUCGUCAACGCGGAGAACUUGCACUGCAUAGUCAUCAACGGCCCGGAGGUGUUUGGCAAGUACAUUGGGCAGAGCGAGCAGAAGAUCCGCGACGUCUUUGAGCGCGCGCAGGCGGCGGCGCCGUGUGUGGUGUUCUUUGACGAGUUCGACUCGGUGGCGCCGCAGCGCGGCGCUGACGACUCGGGCGUGACGGACCGCGUGGUGAACCAACUGCUGUGCUACCUGGACGGUGUGGAGGGGCGCAAGGACGUGUUUGUCGUCGCGGCCUCGAGCCGGCCGGACCUAAUCGACGCGGCGCUGCUGCGGCCGGGCCGACUUGACAAGGCCGUCGUGUGCCCUGUGCCGAGCGAAGAUGAUCGGGUGGCAAUACUGCGCAGCCUGCUGAGCAAGGCCUCGGCGCACUUCAGCGACGAGGAGCUGCGGCAAGUGGCGCGGCGCACGGUGAACUGGACGCCUGCGGACCUCUCGGCGAUGGUGUCGUCGGCGAGCACGCUGAUGAGCAUGCGGUUCGUGGAGCGCCUGACAAAGCAGGCGGCUGGCGUGUCAGGCAGCAUCGCUGGUUGUGGCACCGCGCCGGAUGACGAGGAUGGGUUUGUGAUUGCUGGCCUCGGCCACGGUGUGACGCGAGAAAAGGUGGGGGACACGUUGAAGCCGCUGUGCCUAGCCACCCACGGCGGGGCGGAGGCGGCUGUCUCCGACACGGCCGCCCUCGCAGCGGAGCUGAUGUCGAUAGACGACUUGUGGGCGUCUGUGGCGACGACGCGGCCGUCGCUGUCGGAGAAGGACAUCCAAAAGCAUGAGCGCAUCCACGCCUUGUUCUCCAAGGGCAAGAGCGCUCCUCCGCCCAAGCCUCCCGGGUCACGGCUCGUCACGCGAUGAGCGCCCGCCCCCCGGAUGAUAUGGAGGAGGUUGUCGCUGUGAUUUCUCGCUUGUCUUAUGCCCAACGAGCAACUGAAAU